CACCAAUUUCAUCAUGGGAGCUCUACCCUUAUGACCUCAUAUAAUCUCAAUUAGCUCUCAAAUACCUGACCUUCAAAUACCAUCACUAUAUGAACUUAGGGAUUUUGUCUCCAAUGCAUAUACUUUUGGGGGGCAUAUUUCAACCACAGCAACAGUCAAGUCCAUUCACUUAGGGGUUGUCUAAAGCACUUGCACAUCACAGUAGCAGAGGUGAGUAAUUUUAACAGAGACUCUAAACCCACAAAGCCUAAAAUAUCUACUACUGACCUCUGCUGACAUUGAUGUAGAACACUGCACAGCAGCAGACCUGUUGACACUCUGUCAAUAACCACUCUUAAUUCUUCUCCCUGGUCACCCGCUAUAAUAGGUAAGGCUGAUAUAAGUCAAUAUGUAUUGUUUCACCUGUACCAGGUAAUCAUGGUUGGCAUCCACUGUGAUUGGACUAUAUCCAUUCCCACUUAUUGUUAAAAAAAAAAAAAAAACCAGCAGCACCCUAAUGACAAAAGCUAGACAGGUAAAUAUUCAAAGUUCCUUACAUUUAAGUAUGGCUAGAAGUCUCAGUUAUAAGAAAUAAAACAGAAGUAUAAACCCAAUGAAAGGAUUCUAGAUGUGUAAGUCUGCUGAAAGCUUGAUCUUUAGCUUUUCCUCCUUCUUCCAGGAAACUGACUUAGCCUGGUACUAAGAGUUAUUUUGUGAACAAGAGGUAGGACAACAAGAGCCCAGGUCUCUGGAGGCAUCUUUAAACAUCAGAACCAAUGCUAACAACAGCUGAUGUCUGGAAUUCAUGGAAAUUGCAAGGACAGCACCAAGGAAGGAGGAUGCUUCAUCCAGGAGCUGAUUUGGAGAAUGAAUGCAAGGCUUCCAGAAAGAGAAGAGCAGCCCUGUGAAGUGUCGGAGUGGGAGGGAUCGUGACCACCUGCUCCCACAUCUCUGAGUCCAGAGCCAGCUGAGAGAUGCAUACACAGGCCAACAGAGAUCAGACUCCCAGCAUUAUAACUGACUGAUGGAUCAAGAUGGCUGCUUGGUAAGCAAGGAAGGCACAGGUCCCCAUCCUUUGGGGGACUUGCGGGAGCCAGCAGAGAGACAGCAAGGGUUUUCUACUGCUACUCUCCCUGCCCAAGGAUGGGAUGGGAGAUCCCAAACAUGGACCCUAACAGAGGAUAAGUGGGCCCUCCACCGACAGGAUUAGCCACAUUCACAGAGCUACAUGGGGUCACCCCAAAUGCCCUGAGGGACCUAGCUAGUAAAAGGCAGAGCCAGGGUUUGUGCUCAGUCUGCCAAGCACCUUUCUCUUACCACUGUGCUGCAUAAAGCUGUAUGCGAACACACAUAUACACACAUGUGUGUGCACACAUGCACACACACACCCCUUUGGUGCAAGACAGUGUCAUGAGUAUCAUGUGAAUGGUAGAAGUGAUAGAUAUUUUAAAACAUGUAGUAUAAACAUCCAGGUUUUCAGGGCAACUUGUCAUCACAGCAUCCCAGUUACUGUGAAUAAACAUGUGUACAGAUGUGUGUGUGUGUGUGUGCACACUACAUGGUAUCAUCCUGUAGCAAUAAGAUUGGGUUGUACAUAAACUGUGGGAUGCAAUGGUUGCUUUCAGACGAUAUGUCAUCUUAGAUGUGCAUAUAUUACACCCAAGGCCUUAUUUAUCCAGAUUCAUAAACUCAUGCAGAAACAAGCAAUUACAGAUUUAAGCACCAGCACUCUAAAACAUUACCUUUAAAAAGAUAACAUUCAUUCCACAAUAUGUUAUUCUCAUCCCUGCUCCCUCAAAUUUGGUUUAAAAGUCAAGUCAUCAAUACUAACAUCACUUGUUACCCUGGGCCAUAAUUCAGCAAUGACUGAGGGAUGGUGUCAUGUCCGAGGAAUGAUAAAACCCCUGUGUUUGCAGGCCUGUGCUUUGCCAAGACACGUGUCAACCUGAGUCAUACUGGGACAGCUUCUUUUUGGAAUUUGCAUAUUUGGGAUGAAUUACAGGCAGUGGGCUAUGUACACACAGCCACCAGAUAAAUGAUUAGAUAUUGGAUACAUGAUUUCUCCUUGGCAUCUCCUCAUAUUUUACACAAGGAAGCGGUCUAGCACAGCAAUCUAGGAAACAGACCAUGCAGUCAGAUGGGGUCUGCCUCUUGCAAGCCAUGUGUCCUUAGACAAGUGCCUUUGCCUGUCUGAGCCUUAUUUUCCUUCUCUAAAAAGCAGAAGUGAUAACAGUCUCUUCCUCAUGGGAGAGCAUUCGGAAGGCU